GUGUCAGCCGCCGCGGUAAUACGUAGGUGUCGAGCGUUGUCCGGAUUUAUUGGGCGUAAAGCGCCCGCAGGCGGCUUGGCAAGUUUGGGGUGAAAUCUCCCGGCUCAACUGGGAGGGUGCCUCGAAAACUGCCAGGCUUGAGGCAGGGAGAGGGAUGUGGAAUUCCCGGUGUAGUGGUGAAAUGCGUAGAUAUCGGGAGGAACACCAGUGGCGAAGGCGGCAUCCUGGCCCUGUCCUGACGCUCAGGGGCGAAAGCGUGGGGAGCAAACCGGAUUAGAAACCCGCGUAGUCC
rnacentral:rRNA from 1 species